rnacentral:rRNA from 1 species
AUUGAACGCUGGCGGCAUGCCUUACACAUGCAAGUCGAACGGCAGCACGGGUGCUUGCACCUGGUGGCGAGUGGCGAACGGGUGAGUAAUAUAUCGGAACGUACCUUAUUGUGGGGGAUAACGCAGCGAAAGCUGUGCUAAUACCGCAUAAUCCCUAAGGGGGAAAGCGGGGGACCGUAAGGCCUCGCGCAAUUAGAGCGGCCGAUACCUGAUUGGCUAGUUGGUGAGGUAAAGGCUCACCAAGGCAACGAUCAGUAGCUGGUCUGAGAGGACGAUCAGCCACACUGGGACUGAGACACGGCCCAGACUCCUACGGGAGGCAGCAGUGGGGAAUUUUGGACAAUGGGGGCAACCCUGAUCCAGCAAUGCCGCGUGAGUGAAGAAGGCCUUCGGGUUGUAAAGCUCUUUUGUCAGGGAAGAAACAGCAGCUCUAACACAGUUUGCGAAUGACGGUACCUGAAGAAUAAGCACCGGCUAACUACGUACCAGCCGCCGCGGUAA